rnacentral:misc_RNA from 1 species
GGUGCAUUCCAGGUCGAUGAAAUGGCAUCACGCGACAGUUGGAAACUCGGUAUUUCCGAGCAAACGAGUGACAUUUGCGACAGACGACGUUGCGAAAGCAGCGAAAUUUCAAAUGAUGGCAUCGCCAUUUCCUCCGACACGCGAUCCACGAUUGGCUACUUACGUCGCUCUCGAGGCCUCAAUAGGAUCUAACAGUAAAGACCACUAACCGCUGACAGCUCGCUUCGUUCCGUGGAACACUGAAACCGAUGUGUCCUCAUCAGCGCGCGCGUGACGUUCGGGUUCGGUGGUAUCGGUGGUAUCAGUAUGGCAUUCGGUGGCGCUUGAUUUUCGUUUACGAUUAUUAACUCAUUUUCGCACGGUUUAUGUUCCCUCGAGUGAUCUCCCAUCUUCAUGACGGCGGUUAGCGAAUCCCAUUGCGUAGUCGUCACCGGCGGCCUGGUAGGAGGGGGACGUUGACGAGGCACGGCAUCUAGGGCUGUUCUAACCUAAAGAGAGCACCGCGAGGAGCCGACGUUCUGUCACUUAUGACAGGUUGAGAGGUGUUCCUCGAGCGCGCUUUCGAUCGCCGAAGUAUGACUGUUUGGGAGAGGCUGCGCAACCCGUGCGGCUGGCGCGCCGGUGCCAAGCAAAUCUCCGUGGACGCGAUGUUACCGCUGGUAGUGGUGCCGGCAUUGGCGGUGAUCGCCGCCCAGACCGUCCUCUGCACGGUCGUUGUGUUCGCGGCGACGCCAGUCCUCGUUUACUACUUGCAUCACAAUUUUCUGCGAUUCUUGCUGCGCACCAAGUUCUUCCUCAUGUGGACCAUCACGAGCGUGCUGAUGCUGAUGCUCGUGUUCGAGAUCAGUGUAGUGCCGUUGCUGGAAAUCCUGCCCGAGGAGAAUCUGCUGUUCAUGGUGUGUGUGGUCGGUGGUAUCUGGUGCGGCUACCGAGCCAAGCUCAAUGCAGAUUACGCAGCGCAGGAAGGCAUCCUUGUACAGGGCCUGGAGCUGGGUGAGGGCAGUGGAGAGCUUUGCACCACGUGCAGGAGAAGGGCGCCACCCAGAGCCCACCAUUGCCGCUUGUGCCAGACAUGUAUACUUAACAGGGAAUAUCAUUGCAAAUGGCUGGACUGCUGCAUAGGUUCCAGCAACCUGAGGUGGUACUUGGGCUGUUUAUUCUUUUCUGCAAUCGCCUUCAUCUAUGGCUCCAACUUAACUAUGACUAGUGUCUGUCACCCGUUUAUACUCAUCGGGACUGUACUCCUGCCAGAUGACUGCAGCGAUGUGUAUCACCAGUUAGAAAAGCGCGAUUGGAUGUCACUGAUACAACACGAGCUUAGCAAAGCAAACUGGAAAGAUACAAGGGGAUCUAUAAUGUAGACUUUAAUAAUCGCAAGAUAACAGAGUAUUUGCUGGGUCUGCAAUUUAGCAUCCAUCGCUCUUUGCUUUGUCUCCGCACUCUACAGUCUCCUCGUCGGUCUAGUGGUCGUUUGCUA